rnacentral:rRNA from 1 species
UACGUAGGGAGCAAGCGUUGUCCGGAAUCAUUGGGCGUAAAGCGCGCGUAGGUGGCCCCAUAAGUCCGCUGUGAAAGUCAAAGGCUCAACCUUUGAAAGCCGGUGGAUACUGUGGGACUAGAGUACGGAAGAGGCGAGUGGAAUUCCCGGUGUAGCGGUGGAAUGCGCAGAUAUCAGGAGGAACACCAAUAGCGAAGGCAGCUCGCUGGGACGUUACUGACACUGAGGCGCGAAAGCGUGGGGAGCGAACAGG